rnacentral:rRNA from 1 species
GAAGCCCUUCGGGGUGGAUUAGUGGCGAACGGGUGAGUAACACGUGGGCAAUCUGCCCUGCACUCUGGGAUAAGCCUGGGAAACUGGGUCUAAUACCGGAUAUGAGCUUCCACCGCAUGGUGGAGGUUGGAAAGUUUUUCGGUGCAGGAUGAGCCCGCGGCCUAUCAGCUAGUUGGUGGGGUAACGGCCUACCAAGGCGACGACGGGUAGCCGGCCUGAGAGGGUGAUCGGCCACACUGGGACUGAGACACGGCCCAGACUCCUACGGGAGGCAGCAGUGGGGAAUAUUGCACAAUGGGCGAAAGCCUGAUGCAGCGACGCCGCGUGAGGGAUGACGGCCUUCGGGUUGUAAACCUCUUUCAGCAGGGACGAAGCGCAAGUGACGGUACCUGCAAAAGAAGCACCGGCUAACUACGUGCCAGCAGCCGCGGUAAUACGUAGGGUGCGAGCGUUGUUCGGAUUUACUGGGCGUAAAGAGCUCGUAGGCGGACUGUCGCGUCGCCUGUGAAAGCCCGUGGCUCAACCACGGGUCUGCAGGCGAUACGGGCAGACUAGAGUACUGCAGGGGAGACUGGAAUUCCUGGUGUAGCGGUGGAAUGCGCAGAUAUCAGGAGGAACACCGGUGGCGAAGGCGGGUCUCUGGGCAGUAACUGACGCUGAGGAGCGAAAGCGUGGGGAGCGAACAGGAUUAGAUACCCUGGUAGUCCACGCUGUAAACGGUGGGCGCUAGGUGUGGGUUUCCUUCCAUGAAAUCCGUGCCGUAGCUAACGCAUUAAGCGC